GGUCAAUGGAGUCAACUCUGGACCAGCCAUGCCGGGUGAAGGAAGAAUGUCCUACGGAUUGUAAACUUCUUUUUUUAGGGAAGUAACCUCUGGUCGAGAACCAGGGCUGACGGUACCAAAAGAAUAAGGACCGGCUAACUCCGUGCCAGCAGCCGCGGUAAUACGGAGGGUCCAAGCUUUAUCCGGAAUCAUUGGGUUUAAAGGGUUCGCAGGCUGUUUAAUAAGUCAGUGGUGAAAUCUUGAGGCUCAACCUUGAAACUGCCAUUGAUACUGUUAGACUUGAAUACAGUUGGAGUAGGCUGAAUGUGUAGUGUAGCGGUGAAAUGCUUAGAUAUUACACCGAACACCGAUAGCGAAGGCAGCUUACUAAACUGUGAUUGACGCUCAUGAACGAAAGCGUGGGGAGCGAACAGGAUUAGAUACCUUGGUAGUCCACGCCGUAAACUAUGAUUACUUGAUAUGGCUAUAUACUUCAGUGUGUAAGCGAAAAAAUAAAUAGUC
rnacentral:rRNA from 1 species